GCCUAAUACAUGCAAGUCGAGCGAACAGACGAGGAGCUUGCUCCUCUGACGUUAGCGGCGGACGGGUGAGUAACACGUGGAUAACCUACCUAUAAGACUGGGAUAACUUCGGGAAACCGGAGCUAAUACCGGAUAAUAUAUUGAACCGCAUGGUUCAAUAGUGAAAGACGGUUUUGCUGUCACUUAUAGAUGGAUCCGCGCCGCAUUAGCUAGUUGGUAAGGUAACGGCUUACCAAGGCAACGAUGCGUAGCCGACCUGAGAGGGUGAUCGGCCACACUGGAACUGAGACACGGUCCAGACUCCUACGGGAGGCAGCAGUAGGGAAUCUUCCGCAAUGGGCGAAAGCCUGACGGAGCAACGCCGCGUGAGUGAUGAAGGUCUUCGGAUCGUACAACUCUGCUAUUAGGGAAGAACAAAUGUGUAAGUAACUAUGCACGUCUUGACGGUACCUAAUCAGAAAGCCACGGCUAACUACGUGCCAGCAGCCGCGGUAAUACGUAGGUGGCAAGCGUUAUCCGGAAUUAUUGGGCGUAAAGCGCGCGUAGGCGGUUUUUUAAGUCUGAUGUGAAAGCCCACGGCUCAACCGUGGGGGGUCAUUGGAAACUGGAAAACUUGAGUGCAGAAGAGGAAAGUGGAAUUCCAUGUGUAGCGGUGAAAUGCGCAGAGAUAUGGAGGAACACCAGUGGCGAAGGCGACUUUCUGGUCUGU
rnacentral:rRNA from 1 species